rnacentral:rRNA from 1 species
AGCAGCCGCGGUAAUUCCAGCUCCAAUAGCGUAUAUUAAAGUUGCUGCAGUUAAAAAGCUCGUAGUUGAAUUUCGGGACCGAUAUAUCGGUCGUGCCUCGGUACGUACUGGUAUUUUCGGUUUCUCCCUUCUGAUGAACCUUGAUGUCAUUAAUUUGGUGUCUUGGGGGAAUCAGGACUGUUACUUUGAAAAAAUUUAGAGUGUUUAAAGCAGGCUCACGCUUGAAUACAUUAGCAUGGAAUAAUGAAAUAGGACGUAUGAUCCUAUUUUGUUGGUUUCUAGGAUUGACGUAAUGAUUAAUAGGGAUAGUUGGGGGCAUUAGUAUUCAAUUGUCAGAGGUGAAAUUCUUGGAUUUAUUGAAGACUAACUACUGCGAAAGCAUUUGCCAAGGAUGUUUUCAUUAAUCAAGAACGAAAGUUAGGGGAUCGAAGACGAUCAGAUACCGUCGUAGUCUUAACCAUAAACUAUGCCGACUAGGGAUCGGAUGAUGUUAAUUUUUUAAUGACUCAUUCGGCGCCUU